rnacentral:rRNA from 1 species
GGAGGCAGCAGUGGGGAAUAUUGCACAAUGGGCGGAGCCUGAUGCAGCGACGCCGCGUGAGGGAUGACGGCCUUCGGGUUGUAAACCUCUUUCACCAGGGACGAAGCGUAUUUGACGGUACCUGCAGAAGAAGCACCGGCUAACUACGUGCCAGCAGCCGCGGUAAUACGUAGGGUGCGAGCGUUGUCCGGAAUUACUGGGCGUAAAGA